ACAAAUAAAGAUGUAUAUAUAAUUUAUAGUCUUGACUAAAUUUUGUGCCAGCAGUCGCGGAAAGACAAAAAAGGCUAGCAUUAUUUAUAAUUAUUUGGCUUAAAAGUACCUAAACGGCAUAUAGAUCCAAAUACGGUAUAUAUAUGCUAGAGUUAUUUGAAAAAUAAUAUUGUAUUAUAAAUUAAAUUUAUAUUUAUGAAUUAUAAUAAGUAGAUAAUAUAAUAUCUUAUUAAUAAGACAGGUAAAUUGAAGAAAUAAAUUAUAUAAUAACUGACGUUGAGUUACGAAGCCUUAGGUAGCGAAAAGGAUUAGAUACCCUUGUAGUCUAAGGAGAAAACGAUGAGUGCUAUUAGUACUAUUAUAAUGUACUAAUAUGUGAAAAUAUAAGCACUUUGCCUUAAGAGUAAUAUUUCAAUAUAUAAACUGAAAUCACUAGACCGUUUAUGAAACCAGUAGUGAAGUAUGUUAUUUAAUUCGAUAACCCUCGACAAUCUUACCAAUAACAUGAAUUAUUUAUAUAAUUAUAUUAUAUAAAUUUUACAAGUGUUGCAUGGCUGUCUUUAUCUUUUGUUGUGAAACUGAAUUAGUUUUUAUCAUAAUGUAUUACAAUAAACAACAUAGAGUAUAACCCAUUAUUAAUUUUAUAUUUAAAUUAAUGAAUUUUAUCUGGUUAUAUAUUACAUAACCAA
rnacentral:rRNA from 1 species